UACAGAGGUCUCAAGCGUUGUUCGGAUUCAUUGGGCGUAAAGGGUGCGUAGGCGGCGCGGUAAGUCGGGUGUGAAAUCUCGGAGCUUAACUCCGAAACUGCAUUCGAUACUGCUUUGCUAGAGGACUGGAGAGGAGAUUGGAAUUCACGGUGUAGCAGUGAAAUGCGUAGAGAUCGUGAGGAAGACCAGUGGCGAAGGCGGAUCUCUGGACAGUUCCUGACGCUGAGGCGCGAAGGCCAGGGGAGCAAACGGG
rnacentral:rRNA from 1 species